rnacentral:rRNA from 1 species
UACGUAGGGUGCAAGCGUUAAUCGGAAUUACUGGGCGUAAAGCGUGCGCAGGCGGUUUUGUAAGUCUGUCGUGAAAUCCCCGGGCUCAACCUGGGAAUUGCGAUGGAGACUGCAAGGCUAGAAUCUGGCAGAGGGGGGUAGAAUUCCACGUGUAGCAGUGAAAUGCGUAGAGAUGCGGAGGAACACCGAUGGCGAAGGCAGCCCCCUGGGCCAACACUGACGCUCAGGCACGAAAGCGUGGGGAGCAAACAGG